GACGAACGCUGGCGGCGUGCUUAACACAUGCAAGUCGUGCGGUAAGGCCCUUUCGGGGGUCCACGAGCGGCGAACGGGUGAGUAACACGUGAGCAACCUGCCCUUCACUUUGGGAUAACUGCCGGAAACGGUGGCUAAUACCGGAUAUGACUUCCUCACGCAUGUGGGGUGGUGGAAAGCCUUCGGGUGGUGGGGGAUGGGCUCGCGGUCUAUCAGCUUGUUGGUGGGGUGAUGGCCUACCAAGGCUUCGACGGGUAGCCGGCCUGAGAGGGGGACCGGCCACACUGGGACUGAGACACGGCCCAGACUCCUACGGGAGGCAGCAGUGGGGAAUAUUGGACAAUGGGCUAAAGCCUGAUCCAGCAACGCCGCGUGAGGGAUGACGGCCUUCGGGUUGUAAACCUCUUUCGCCUGCGACGAAGCGAGAGUGACGGUAGCAGGUAAAGAAGCACCGGCCAACUACGUG
rnacentral:rRNA from 1 species